UUAAAUAUAGAUUAAAGGUAAAUUAUCUGUCUUUCAAACAGAAGUUACGGGUUCAAAUCCCGUUAUUUUAA
rnacentral:tRNA from 1 species